CUGCACACACACAUGAUGCACCCCAUUUUCAGUCCACCAAAAUCUAAGUUUCUGAACAAAUCGACUCGAAACAACUCCAACGACUGUCGAAUCAGAUCGGAACUCAGUCCAAUCUCGAACCAUAAAGUUUCAUCGACGACUAUACUCACAAUUCGCUCCAUAAUCACUUCUCUUUAGCAAAAUUACACCGGACUCGAGGUGUCGCAGUUUUAAGACAGGAGAAUCUUGUAACUAGACCCAUCCCGAUCUCGGGCGAAAUGUAUAGAACUCCAAUUCAGAAGCAAGAGUUCAUUGGGCAUCAUUGAAUUCUCCGGAUAAAGAUAACACACUGCACGAUGAAAUGCAAUGCGAUGCAAAGCUUACGUGGGGCUUACCAAGUUAGUGGGCGAACCGAUGAAGUCGCAGCGAGCCCCCAGCGCUCCCUUUCCCUUGCGCCUCAUCGGCUGAACGACCGCAGCCUGAAAACAGCAUGAACACAGAUUUACCUAACUCAAGAUCUGGUGCAGAAAUGAACUAACGAAGGCAAUGCAUAACCAGCAAAUCCAUCAGCCUGCAAAACCCAAUGAUGGUUUCUCGAGGGGCUGGCUUCCUACCAGGCUUCGCACAGGAGCCGCUGGAGCAGCGGGUCUGAGGCCAUUGAACUGAGGGAGAGAUGUCAUCACUGUUGUCGCCAUUGUCGUGCUAGAACUGAAAGAAAAAGAGAGAGAUCAAGCUGCAGAUUUUCUGGAGUCUCUCCUUUUCU
rnacentral:lncRNA from 1 species